GUAAGAACUUACCCCUUGGCGGGGAAUACCCCAUCGAAAGUUGGGCUAAUACCGCAUAAGAUCGUAAGAUGAAAGGACGUAACUGUCCACCGAGGGAGAGGCUUGGGGCCCAUCAGCUUGUUGGUAGGGUAAUGGCCUACCAAGGCAACGACGGGUAGGGGGUGUGAGAGCAUGUCCCCCCAGAAUGGCACUGAGACACGGGC
rnacentral:rRNA from 1 species